rnacentral:rRNA from 1 species
UGGGGAAUAUUGCACAAUGGGGGAAACCCUGAUGCAGCGACGCCGCGUGGAGGAAGAAGGUCUUCGGAUUGUAAACUCCUGUUGUUGGGGAAGAUAAUGACGGUACCCAACAAGGAAGUGACGGCUAACUACGUGCCAGCAGCCGCGGUAAAACGUAGGUCACAAGCGUUGUCCGGAAUUACUGGGUGUAAAGGGAGCGCAGGCGGGAAGACAAGUUGGAAGUGAAAUCUAUGGGCUCAACCCAUAAACUGCUUUCAAAACUGUUUUUCUUGAGUAGUGCAGAGGUAGGCGGAAUUCCCGGUGUAGCGGUGGAAUGCGUAGAUAUCGGGAGGAACACCAGUGGCGAAGGCGGCCUACUGGGCACCAACUGACGCUGAGGCUCGAAAGUGUGGGUAGCAAACAGGAUUAGAUACCCUGGUAGUCCACACCGUAAACGAUGAUUACUAGGUGUUGGAGGAUUGACCCCUUCAGUGCCGCAGUUAACACAAUAAGUAAUCCACCUGGGGAGUACGACCGCAAGGUUGAAACUCAAAGGAAUUGACGGGGGCCCGCACAAGCAGUGGAGUAUGUGGUUUAAUUCGACGCAACGCGAAGAACCUUACCAAGUCUUGACAUCCCUUGACAGGCAUAGAAAUAUGUUUUCUCUUCGGAGCAAGGAGACAGGUGGUGCAUGGUUGUCGUCAGCUCGUGUCGUGAGAUGUUGGGUUAAGUCCCGCAACGAGCGCAACCCUUAUGGUCAGUUACUACGCAAGAGGACUCUGGCCAGACUGCCGUUGACAAAACGGAGGAAGGUGGGGAUGACGUCAAAUCAUCAUGCCCUUUAUGACUUGGGCUACACACGUGCUACAAUGGCGUAAACAAAGGGAAGCGAUCACGCGAGUGUGAGCAAAUCUCAAAAAUAACGUCUCAGUUCGGAUUGUAGUCUGCAACUCGACUACAUGAAGCUGGAAUCGCUAGUAAUCGCAGGUCAGCAUACUGCGGUGAAUACGUUCCC